rnacentral:snRNA from 1 species
UGAUGUUAGGGCAAUCUAGCUGCAACAUCUGUCACUCCAUUGAUUGCCAGAGUAAUUUGGCUGAUUUGGCUGGCUAGGCCAGUGUCCCCUUCCUCACUCACUGUUCCAUGUGUGUCCCUCGUGUUUGUUUAAAAGGAUGACCUUCUGGAGGACUAUUCUUUGGUCAAGAGUAUACAAGUAACUGUGCUCCCCUGCCAUAACCUCCAAACAAGCUCUCAAUCACAAUUGUCAAAGUUCAAAGAGAAUUUAAAGAUCUCCUAAUUGAAUUUUUGAUUGAUAUUU